CGGGACACGUGGUAUCCUGUCUGAAUAUGGGGGGACCAUCCUCCAAGGCUAAAUACUCCUGACUGACCGAUAGUGAACCAGUACCGUGAGGGAAAGGCGAAAAGAACCCCGGCGAGGGGAGUGAAAAAGAACCUGAAACCGUGUACGUACAAGCAGUGGGAGCACGCUUAGGCGUGUGACUGCGUACCUUUUGUAUAAUGGGUCAGCGACUUAUAUUCUGUAGCAAGGUUAACCGAAUAGGGGAGCCGAAGGGAAACCGAGUCUUAACUGGGCGUUAAGUUGCAGGGUAUAGACCCGAAACCCGGUGAUCUAGCCAUGGGCAGGUUGAAGGUUGGGUAACACUAACUGGAGGACCGAACCGACUAAUGUUGAAAAAUUAGCGGAUGACUUGUGGCUGGGGGUGAAAGGCCAAUCAAACCGGGAGAUAGCUGGUUCUCCCCGAAAGCUAUUUAGGUAGCGCCUCGUGAAUUCAUCUCCGGGGGUAGAGCACUGUUUCGGCAAGGGGGUCAUCCCGACUUACCAACCCGAUGCAAACUGCGAAUACCGGAGAAUGUUAUCACGGGAGACACACGGCGGGUGCUAACGUCCGUCGUGAAGAGGGAAACAACCCAGACCGCCAGCUAAGGUCCCAAAGUCAUGGUUAAGUGGGAAACGAUGUGGGAAGGCCCAGACAGCCAGGAUGUUGGCUUAGAAGCAGCCAUCAUUUAAAGAAAGCGUAAUAGCUCACUGGUCGAGUCGGCCUGCGCGGAAGAUGUAACGGGGCUAAACCAUGCACCGAAGCUGCGGCAGCGACGCUGAUGCGUUGUUGGGUAGGGGAGCGUUCUGUAAGCCUGCGAAGGUGUGCUGUGAGGCAUGCUGGAGGUAUCAGAAGUGCGAAUGCUGACAUAAGUAACGAUAAAGCGGGUGAAAAGCCCGCUCGCCGGAAGACCAAGGGUUCCUGUCCAACGUUAAUCGGGGCAGGGUGAGUCGACCCCUAAGGCGAGGCCGAAAGGCGUAGUCGAUGGGAAACAGGUUAAUAUUCCUGUACUUGGUGUUACUGCGAAGGGGGGACGGAGAAGGCUAUGUUGGCCGGGCGACGGUUGUCCCGGUUUAAGCGUGUAGGCUGGUUUUCCAGGCAAAUCCGGAAAAUCAAGGCUGAGGCGUGAUGACGAGGCACUACGGUGCUGAAGCAACAAAUGCCCUGCUUCCAGGAAAAGCCUCUAAGCAUCAGGUAACAUCAAAUCGUACCCCAAACCGACACAGGUGGUCAGGUAGAGAAUACCAAGGCGCUUGAGAGAACUCGGGUGAAGGAACUAGGCAAAAUGGUGCCGUAACUUCGGGAGAAGGCACGCUGAUAUGUAGGUGAAGUCCCUCGCGGAUGGAGCUGAAAUCAGUCGAAGAUACCAGCUGGCUGCAACUGUUUAUUAAAAACACAGCACUGUGCAAACACGAAAGUGGACGUAUACGGUGUGACGCCUGCCCGGUGCCGGAAGGUUAAUUGAUGGGGUUAGCGCAAGCGAAGCUCUUGAUCGAAGCCCCGGUAAACGGCGGCCGUAACUAUAACGGUCCUAAGGUAGCGAAAUUCCUUGUCGGGUAAGUUCCGACCUGCACGAAUGGCGUAAUGAUGGCCAGGCUGUCUCCACCCGAGACUCAGUGAAAUUGAACUCGCUGUGAAGAUGCAGUGUACCCGCGGCAAGACGGAAAGACCCCGUGAACCUUUACUAUAGCUUGACACUGAACAUUGAGCCUUGAUGUGUAGGAUAGGUGGGAGGCUUUGAAGUGUGGACGCCAGUCUGCAUGGAGCCGACCUUGAAAUACCACCCUUUAAUGUUUGAUGUUCUAACGUUGACCCGUAAUCCGGGUUGCGGACAGUGUCUGGUGGGUAGUUUGACUGGGGCGGUCUCCUCCUAAAGAGUAACGGAGGAGCACGAAGGUUGGCUAAUCCUGGUCGGACAUCAGGAGGUUAGUGCAAUGGCAUAAGCCAGCUUGACUGCGAGCGUGACGGCGCGAGCAGGUGCGAAAGCAGGUCAUAGUGAUCCGGUGGUUCUGAAUGGAAGGGCCAUCGCUCAACGGAUAAAAGGUACUCCGGGGAUAACAGGCUGAUACCGCCCAAGAGUUCAUAUCGACGGCGGUGUUUGGCACCUCGAUGUCGGCUCAUCACAUCCUGGGGCUGAAGUAGGUCCCAAGGGUAUGGCUGUUCGCCAUUUAAAGUGGUACGCGAGCUGGGUUUAGAACGUCGUGAGACAGUUCGGUCCCUAUCUGCCGUGGGCGCUGGAGAACUGAGGGGGGCUGCUCCUAGUACGAGAGGACCGGAGUGGACGCAUCACUGGUGUUCGGGUUGUCAUGCCAAUGGCACUGCCCGGUAGCUAAAUGCGGAAGAGAUAAGUGCUGAAAGCAUCUAAGCACGAAACUUGCCCCGAGAUGAGUUCUCCCUGACUCCUUGAGAGUCCUGAAGGAACGUUGAAGACGACGACGUUGAUAGGCCGGGUGUGUAAGCGCAGCGAUGCGUUGAGCUAACCGGUACUAAUGAACCGUGAGG
rnacentral:rRNA from 1 species